UACAGCUCUUCAGACUGUCGUGAGAAAACUUUUUGGGAGAAAGAUCUUGUUUGGAAAUACCCUCAUUUUUUUUCUUGGAAAAGGGCAUAAAAGGAGACUCCCUAGGUGACCAGGGAGCCAGUGAACAGGGACUACAAACAGGGUAAGGAGUUUGCAGGCAGUUGUGGGAGCAAGAGGAAGAAAGGAGAGAAGCCAGGCACCAGGUGCUGCCCAGGGAGGAAUGAAGAGAGAAGAGUACGGAUGCCUGGCUAUGUGAAGAUGGACAACAGGAAGAUCAACUGGGAGCCCUACCCAGGGGAUGCUUGGAAGAUGGUCAUCUCGGGUCCCAAGACAUGCAGUACCACUGCUCCCUUGGAACUGAGCAACAGAAAAAUAAUGAUUCAUUGCCGGCACUGUCAAACUUCAGGAGGUUCUGAACAUUUUACCACACAAAGCUCAAAGGUAGACUGCUCACAGUUUUUCAAAGAUCCCAUGUUUCAAUGAA